rnacentral:rRNA from 1 species
UACGAAGGGUGCAAACGUUGCUCGGAAUCAUUGGGCGUAAAGCGCACGUAGGCGGCUCCACAAGUCGGAUGUGAAAUCCCUGGGCUCAACCGAGGAAGUGCAUCCGAAACUGCGGAGCUUGAGUAUGGAGGAGGGUCGCGGAAUUCCCGGUGUAGAGGUGAAAUUCGUAGAUAUCGGGAGGAACACCAGUGGCGAAGGCGGCGACCUGGGCCAAUACUGACGCUGAGGUGCGAAAGCGUGGGGAGCAAACAGG